CAUCGAUUCUGCGACAAAGGAAUCCCGCGGGCUUGCUUUUACAUUUCAGGACGCGACGACUUUAAGUCCAUGCGCUUGCCCAGUGGUUACGUAGUUUUGAGGCCUCUCGCUCAGUGCGUCCCGAGGAUCAGAAAUUAUUUGUGAGUGACGAUCCGAAGUUGUUGCUAUGUCUCGUUUUUUUACUACUGGCUCAGACAGUGAGUCAGAAUCGUCACUUUCUGGAGAUGAAUUAGUAACCAAGCCUGUUGGAGGCAAUUUUGGGAAACAGCCUUUCCUGCUAAGUGAGGAUGAAGAAGAUACAAAAAGAGUUGUGCGCAGUGCUAAAGACAAAAG